GGGUGUGGAGCGUCGGGCUGAUCCCCGCUGCGGGCAAAGCCGCCACCGCGGGGGAGGUCAGCCCCACACUCC
ensembl:miRNA